UUAAAAACACAGCACUGUGCAAACACGAAAGUGGACGUAUACGGUGUGACGCCUGCCCGGUGCCGGAAGGUUAAUUGAUGGGGUCAGCGCAAGCGAAGCUCUUGAUCGAAGCCCCGGUAAACGGCGGCCGUAACUAUAACGGUCCUAAGGUAGCGAAAUUCCUUGUCGGGUAAGUUCCGACCUGCACGAAUGGCGUAAUGAUGGCCAGGCUGUCUCCACCCGAGACUCAGUGAAAUUGAACUCGCUGUGAAGAUGCAGUGUACCCGCGGCAAGACGGAAAGACCCCGUGAACCUUUACUAUAGCUUGACACUGAACACUGGUCCUUGAUGUGUAGGAUAGGUGGGAGGCUUUGAAGUGUGGACGCCAGUCUGCAUGGAGCCGUCCUUGAAAUACCACCCUUUAAUGGCUGGUGUUCUAACGUGGGCCCGUAAUCCGGGUUGCGGACAGUGUCUGGUGGGUAGUUUGACUGGGGCGGUCUCCUCCUAAAGAGUAACGGAGGAGCACGAAGGUUGGCUAAUCCUGGUCGGACAUCAGGAGGUUAGUGCAAUGGCAUAAGCCAGCUUGACUGCGAGCGUGACGGCGCGAGCAGGUGCGAAAGCAGGUCAUAGUGAUCCGGUGGUUCUGAAUGGAAGGGCCAUCGCUCAACGGAUAAAAGGUACUCCGGGGAUAACAGGCUGAUACCGCCCAAGAGUUCAUAUCGACGGCGGUGUUUGGCACCUCGAUGUCGGCUCAUCACAUCCUGGGGCUGAAGUAGGUCCCAAGGGUAUGGCUGUUCGCCAUUUAAAGUGGUACGCGAGCUGGGUUUAGAACGUCGUGAGACAGUUCGGUCCCUAUCUGCCGUGGGCGCUGGAGAACUGAGGGGGGCUGCUCCUAGUACGAGAGGACCGGAGUGGACGCAUCACUGGUGUUCGGGUUGUCAUGCCAAUGGCACUGCCCGGUAGCUAAAUGCGGAAGAGAUAAGUGCUGAAAGCAUCUAAGCACGAAACUUGCCCCGAGAUGAGUUCUCCCUGAGACUUAGAGUCUCCUGAAGGAACGUUGAAGACGACGACGUUGAUAGGCCGGGUGUGUAAGCGCA
rnacentral:rRNA from 1 species